rnacentral:ncRNA from 1 species
UAAUAAACUGUGAUGGAGAUAGUAAAUAUAAAAAUGUUUACAGGGAUAAGAAGCCUUAGAUUGAGAGCUUCGAAAAUAAUUUUUAUAUUGAAGUUCACUCUGGAGUUCUAACAGUGAAAUAAAGUAACUGCUAGCGGGUAGAACCGAUAAAUUUAUCUAAGAGGACUAUUUAUUAGUCAAUUAGGGUGGUAACGCGGAUAUUCCGUCCCUUUA